rnacentral:rRNA from 1 species
AGUGAACGCUGGCGGUAGGCCUAACACAUGCAAGUCGAACGGCAGCACAGUAAGAGCUUGCUCUUACGGGUGGCGAGUGGCGGACGGGUGAGGAAUACAUCGGAAUCUACUUUUUCGUGGGGGAUAACGUAGGGAAACUUACGCUAAUACCGCAUACGACCUACGGGUGAAAGCAGGGGAUCUUCGGACCUUGCGCGAUUGAAUGAGCCGAUGUCGGAUUAGCUAGUUGGCGGGGUAAAGGCCCACCAAGGCGACGAUCCGUAGCUGGUCUGAGAGGAUGAUCAGCCACACUGGAACUGAGACACGGUCCAGACUCCUACGGGAGGCAGCAGUGGGGAAUAUUGGGCAAUGGGCGCAAGCCUGAUCCAGCUAUACCGCGUGGGUGAAGAAGGCCUUCGGGUUGUAAAGCCCUUUUGUUGGGAAAGAAAAGCAGCAGGUUAAUACCCCGCUGUUCUGACGGUACCCAAAGAAUAAGCACCGGCUAACUUCGUG